rnacentral:rRNA from 1 species
UACGUAGGGUGCAAGCGUUGUCCGGAAUUAUUGGGCGUAAAGAGCUCGUAGGCGGUCUGUCGCGUCGGCUGUGAAAUCCCGGAGCUCAACUCCGGGCCUGCAGUCGAUACGGGCGGACUAGAGUUCGGCAGGGGAGACUGGAAUUCCUGGUGUAGCGGUGAAAUGCGCAGAUAUCAGGAGGAACACCGGUGGCGAAGGCGGGUCUCUGGGCCGAUACUGACGCUGAGGAGCGAAAGCGUGGGGAGCGAACAGG